UAUGUCCAAGAGUGUUGGGUGUGCCAUUUGUGUAGGGUUCGAUAAUAACAUACAUCGGGGAAGCAUAAUGGAUUUCAAUUUUUUUUUAUAGUAUGAUGAAAUCCUAAAUUAUUCAAAUCCUAAACCCAGGAACCCCUUGAUGACAUUCAAUCAUAUAAACUACAAACAUGGUGAUGAUAGAUGUCAUACCUCAAGUUGAUGU
rnacentral:lncRNA from 1 species